UUUUACUAAAUAAAAAUAACAAAAACUUUUAUCAUCUGAAAAACAAAAGCCAAUAAAAACCAAAAAGCCAUAAUUAUUCUCAAUCUCGAGUUCACGACUCUCUCUCACGAAAUUGCGACUCUCGUCUCCCAUCGCCGCCGCGCAUCGGUGAUCGAUCUUCACCGCCGUGAGCCACCGCGACACCAGCGACCCUCGCCGAUGUUGAAGACGAACAAACUCCAUCGUUCUUAUACCUUCGUUCCAGGGAAACGUGAGAUCCAUUCAGAAUUGGCUAAGAGAAAAUUCACUAUGGUAAUAACUGCACAACAUUUGGGGUUUGUAUCACCAUUUUUCUUGUUUAAGGCUUGGAUCCUCUAAUGGUAAUGCUACUAAUGAUUCUUUGUUGCUCAGACAUGGUUGCAUAUUGACACCAUUCUCUUACAAUUUUUCAUGAAGGGGUUUUGAUGGCAAUGCUUGCUGCAAUAGCCAAUAGCUAGUAUUUAAUUUUUUUGUUGCAAUGUGGUUUGCAGCUCUUUGAUGCUAGACCUUUAUUGAUUGUGGUUGAGGAUGUCGAAAGUGACACCCUUGUAACUCUUAUUCUAAAUAAGCUUCAUGCUGGAAUCAAGGGUAGAGCUUCCAUGAGUUAUGCAUGGGGCGUCUAUCGUCAAAUACAUGGCUUCGUUUAAGCAGGGAAGAACUUCCAGUCUAUCACUCAAGAAAAUUCCUAUGUUGAUCCCUCACACGGGUUAUCAAAGGCAUUGUUGAUGGCUGCAAGCAAUCUGAUUGUGCUCUUUUAGGAGGAUUGGUAUUAAAAUAGUUCGUAGCAAUCUGAUUGUGCUCUUUUAGGAGGAUUGGUAUUAAAAUAGUUCGUAGUUUUUUCUUUAAAUCUCAGUAUCUAAUUGAAUUCAUGUGCUUGUAUUUCAUACUCACAAUCUGAUCAAUUCAGGUUAGACACUAUGAAUUAACUGGACCCUUCAUUGCUGAAAUACCAUUUUUUUACCGCAAACUUUGAUAGUUUUCAAUGUUGAGAGGACUGAGGUGGAUGAUUGGAUAUGUAUAAGAAAAGAUAUGGAAUGAUUUGGUCUAAUGAAAUGCAUAGGCUUCGUUGAGAAGAUAUUGAUAGUUUGGCAGAAGAUAGUAAGGCAGUAGCCAAGCACACAGAUAGUCCCAAUCAUCAGGCAUUUGAAUGAAGAUGUGCUUCUUUCAGAGGCUGUGCAGGAUUUGGUGUCCAAGGUUCGUUUUCAUCCCUUUGAUAUUGAAUUACAUUAUCUAUUUUAUUUCUUUCUAUCUUUACUUUUUUUUCUUAUUAAUUAUAUGCUUAAAUACUAUUUGUUGGUGCAUGCCAGUAGUUGUUUCACUGUGUUUAUAGCUAGUCAUUUCUUUAGUUUGCUACGCCUUUGGAGAGACAUUAUGGAGGAAGAAACAGAACUAGAAAUCAAGAAAUGAACCACUACUGGUAUUUGUCUUCUUGGAUGAUGUUUUGGCUGAGGAAUAGUCUUAACUAGAGACUAACCUUUUCAAGGAAUUUUGCUGAAAAUUGAACACUCAGGACACUGCCAAUAGUUCUUCUUAACUCUAAAAGGGCUGGAGUCAAGUUUUCCUUCUUCAAGAUUGCUUGUCUGCAAAAUGAUGAUGGCAUGAUGGUGGAAGAAGAUGAUGCUACACUUUGAUGGUGGAAUUUGUUGGUUUGAAUGCUGUUUUAAUUUGGCCAAAAAUAUUGUCGAUCAUUAGAACAAUUUGCAUCUUGUAGUUUGGAUCUUUAGUUUAUUAAUUUGGAUUCUAAUGUAUUAAUGUUGAUGGAUUAUUACGUGGAUUCAAAGAUGAUAAUGAUUGACAGUAUCUUUUUUGUA